rnacentral:rRNA from 1 species
UACGUAGGGUGCAAGCGUUGUCCGGAAUUAUUGGGCGUAAAGAGCUCGUAGGCGGUCUGUCGCGUCGGCUGUGAAAACUUGGGGCUCAACCCCAAGCCUGCAGUCGAUACGGGCAGACUAGAGUGCGGUAGGGGAGACUGGAAUUCCCGGUGUAGCGGUGAAAUGCGUAGGAGAUCGGGAGGAACACCAGAGGCGAAGGCGGCGACCUGGACGAGGUACUGACAGCUUCA